rnacentral:rRNA from 1 species
GUGAGGAAUAUUGGUCAAUGGGCGAGAGCCUGAACCAGCCAAGUAGCGUGAGGGAUGACUGCCCUAUGGGUUGUAAACCUCUUUUGCAGGGGGGUAAAGUGGUCCACGUGUGGAUCAUUGCAAGUACCCUGCGAAUAAGGAUCGGCUAACUCCGUGCCAGCAGCCGCGGUAAUACGGAGGAUCCGAGCGUUAUCCGGAGUUAUUGGGUUUAAAGGGAGCGUAGGCGUGGGUUUAAGUCAGCUGUGAAAUGCCGUGGCCCAACCAUGGAACUUCAGUUGAAACUGGACCUCUUGAAAGUACAUAAGGAAGGCGGAAUUCGUGGUGUAGCGGUGAAAUGCAUAGAUAUCACGAAGAACUCCGAUUGCGAAGGCAGCUUUCCGGGGUACAUCUGACGCUGAAGCUCGAAAGUGCGGGAAUCAAACAGGAUUAGAAACCCCGGUAGUCC